CAACAAAGGAAAAGGUAUCUUUGAUAUAUGCAGGAAAUGUGAUGCUCAGCAAUGAUCCAGAGGCCAAUCCCUUCCUGAGAGACUAUAUAAAAGGAGACGGUGCAUAACACAGAUCCCACAGAUGCAAGCACCCUCCUCCUGCCUUCUACCACUUGGUCUUGACCCAGCUCCAUCACUCCAAGAUGUCCUGCUGCUACUACCCAUGCUGCCCACAGCCCUGCCCACAGCCCUGCCCUGUCCCAGUCUGCCCUAUCCCAGUCUGCCCCCCACCCCCACCCCCAACUUGUAUCCGCUACCCAGUCGGGGCUCUGGGCUCACUGGGCUGUGACAGCUCAUCAGGUGGAAGCUCAUCAGGGGGCAGAUCAUCAGGGGGCAGAUCAUCAGGAGGUGGCUCUGGCAGCAAUGGAGGCAAUGGUGGCGCUGGUGGCAUGGUACCAUCUGCUAGCCUCGGCAUAGUCCCUGGGGCCAGCUGUGGUUGCAUCACUCAGCUCCCACCAUCUGAAGUGAUCAUCCAGCCAGCUCCUGCUUGUGUGGUCAUCCCAGGACCAAUGCUCGUCGCCAGCAGUGAACCGACCCGUGUGGGAGGAUAUUCCGCCUGUCUGUCAGUGGGAGGCAACGGAGGAAACAACGGGGGAGGCAAUGGAGGAAACGGGGGAGGCAACGGAGGAAACAACGGGGGAAACAAUGGUGGAAACAAUGGGGGUAACAAUGGGAGAGGCAAUGGGAGAAACAAUGGAGGAGGCAAUGGGGGAGGCAAUGGGGGAAACUAUUCUGGGGUGUGCUACUAUCCCGGCAAGGUCACCUGUUAUCCCUGUUAAGCUCCAAGUCAAUGGUCACAGGAACUGGGGAUUCACUUUUGAAAAAAGGAUACCUGGAAAACCACAAUACGGAUUCACGGCUGAUGUCAUUGUCCCGGGCCUUGGUGUCAUGAACGCUGAGCUUCCUCACUCCACAUCUCCAUCAAUGGGAUAUGCGGCUGCUCAGCAUUCCUGAUGCUUGUGUCCAUCUACGCUUUAUGCUAAAUUGUCGAUCUGCUGCUUUGACUUCUUGCACUUUUUCUUUUCCACUUGGGCUUCAUUUCAGGUCAUCAGAAUGGGUUAGAAACCUGUAAACAAAUGAAAUAAUAUAUUUUUCUUGUAUGUGCGUUUCUGUCUCUUUCUGACUAUUCUGAAGGACACCCAAGCUUUUGAGGCUGCAGCUGUCCUCCUAAACCCAGGACUACCCUUGAAUACAUUUGCUAUUUUCAUGUGCUCUCUGUUUCAUUCAUUAAAGCAUAUCUGCAUGCAUUGAAAAAAAAA